rnacentral:rRNA from 1 species
AUUGAACGCUGGCGGCAUGCCUUACACAUGCAAGUCGAACGGUAACAGGUCUUCGGAUGCUGACGAGUGGCGAACGGGUGAGUAAUACAUCGGAACGUGCCCGAUCGUGGGGGAUAACGGAGCGAAAGCUUUGCUAAUACCGCAUACGAUCUACGGAUGAAAGCAGGGGACCGCAAGGCCUUGCGCGGGCGGAGCGGCCGAUGGCAGAUUAGGUAGUUGGUGGGUUAAAAGCUUACCAAGCCGACGAUCUGUAGCUGGUCUGAGAGGACGACCAGCCACACUGGGACUGAGACACGGCCCAGACUCCUACGGGAGGCAGCAGUGGGGAAUUUUGGACAAUGGGCGAAAGCCUGAUCCAGCCAUGCCGCGUGCAGGAUGAAGGCCUUCGGGUUGUAAACUGCUUUUGUACGGAACGAAAAGACUCUUUCUAAUAAAGAGGGUCCAUGACGGUACCGUAAGAAUAAGCACCGGCUAACUACGUG